CGUAGGUGGCAAGCGUUAUCCGGAUUUACUGGGCGUAAAGCGCGUGUAGGUGGUUCUGUAAGUAGGGCGUGAAAGCUCCCGGCUCAACUGGGAGAGGCCGUUCUAAACUGCAGAGCUAGAGGAUGGUAGAGGGAGGUGGAAUUCCAGGUGUAGCGGUGGAAUGCGCAGAUAUCUGGAGGAACACCAGUGGCGAAGGCGGCCUCCUGGACCAUUCCUGACACUCAGACGCGAAAGCUAGGGUAGCAAACGGGAUUAGAUACCCCGGUAGU
rnacentral:rRNA from 1 species